UGAUCCUUUUAAGCCAAGGAUCACCUAGCCAACUGACGUUGUUAGUGAAUUUAUUUUGUUCACACAUAUCUAUAGCCAAUCACGGGCAUUGUGAUUGGCUUUUUUUUA
rnacentral:sRNA from 1 species